rnacentral:tRNA from 1 species
GCCUGGGUGGCUCAGUGGGUUGGGCAUCUGACUUCAGCUCAGGUCAUGAUCUCACAGUUUGUGGGUUCAAGCCCUGUGUCAAGCU